rnacentral:rRNA from 1 species
AUACGGAGGGUGCAAGCGUUGUCCGGAUUUAUUGGGUUUAAAGGGUGCGCAGGUGGUUUAUUAAGUCAGUGGUGAAAGACGGUCGCUCAACGAUUGCAGUGCCAUUGAAACUGGUAGACUUGAGUAAAGUAGAGGUGGGCGGAAUUGAUAGUGUAGCGGUGAAAUGCAUAGAUAUUAUCAAGAACUCCAAUUGCGUAGGCAGCUAACUUGGCUUUUACUGACACUCAUGCACGAAAGUGUGGGUAUCAAACAGGAUUAGAUACCCUGGUAGUCCACACUGUAAACGAUGAUAACUAGGUGUCGGCCGAAUCUGGUCGGUGCCACAGCGAAAGCGUUAAGUUAUCCACCUGGGGAGUACGCCGGCAACGGUGAAACUCAAAUGAAUUGACGGGG